GAGGAAAGCAGGGCGAUCGCAAGACCUUGCGCUUUUGGAGUGGCCGAUGCCUGAUUAGCUAGUUGGUGGGGUAAGAGCCUACCAAGGCGACGAUCAGUAGUUGGUCUGAGAGGACGACCAGCCACACUGGGACUGAGACACGGCCCAGACUCCUACGGGAGGCAGCAGUGGGGAAUUUUGGACAAUGGGCGAAAGCCUGAUCCAGCAAUGCCGCGUGAGUGAAGAAGGCCUUCGGGUUGUAAAGCUCUUUCAGUCGAGAAGAAAAGGUCGCGACUAAUAAUCGCGACUCAUGACGGUAUCGACAGAAGAAGCACCGGCUAACUACGUGCCAGCAGCCGCGGUAAUACGUAGGGUGCGAGCGUUAAUCGGAAUCACUGGGCGUAAAGGGUGCGCAGGCGGCUUUGUAAGUCAGAUGUGAAAUCCCCGG
rnacentral:rRNA from 1 species